UCCUGCUGUGCACAGCCCCAGUGCUGAAGUC
rnacentral:piRNA from 1 species